UUAAAUUUCAUGUCUUAGAAGCAAGCAUAUCAAAAGUUAAAAAUAGGAAAUGCGAAAAGCAUAAGGUAUACUUCAAUUCAUCUCCUUUCGUAGCUUCGACUAAAUUACUCGGAAUAAAUAUUAAAAUUUGCAUCUGAAGAAACAUGUUACCAUGGAUUAGUCAUACAGCAGCAGAUGAUGUAAAAGCAGCACAAGGUAUCAGCAACAAAUUGCGAAUAAAAAGAUCAUAAAAUAUCCUUCUCCAGAUUCAAAAUUUUUCAGAGAGUAAAUUCAUGAUGAUUGAGGAGGAAAGAGGAAAAAGGAGUUUAAUUGCAACAGUAACUAAUCCAUCCUCAAACAUUGGUUUAUUUAGAUGAUUCUAAAUGAUCAUGAACUAUACAUCAAUUUAAUGUGGUGAGGUUGAUUGAGGGAGAGAGAUAUAAGGAAAUGAAUUGGAAAGAGAACAACAAUAAAAUAUCAAAUUCCAGUUAUAUCUAAGCUUCAGUCCAAGGGUUGACCCAGAAAAGAAAAAAUGUGUUUACUUGGUAGCUAAGUUUAGUAAAUAAUAUCUAUUAGGACCAAAGAAAAAAAAAAGUAACACAAUAAAAUUCCAAGGAACUAAAAAACAAAAUUGUAGCUAUUUCAUUAUUAGAGUCAGCACCAAAUAAGCGAAAUCACGAGGAAAAGGACUCCACCAAAUAAGCGGAAUCACAAGGAAAAAGGGAAAAUCGCAUAUAAAUUAGUCAAAAAAGUACAAAACAAAUAAUUUGAAGCGCAAAUUAACAAAAUUUUACAACAGAAAAGGGAAAAAUCACAUAUAAAUUGGUCGGGAAAACAAAUACAAAAAAAAAUAAUUUGAAGCGCAAAUUGACGAAAUUUAAGAAUACAAAAAAAAAAUGUUAAGAUGACCAACGAAUCAAAUCCUCUUCAAUCACCAAAACCCCCCCACAAAAAAAAGGAAAAAGCUUUUUUCCUAUACCCUAAUAAUCCAUCUCAAAAAACCCCCCAAAAAACACCAAAUUAAAUCGAAUUAAAGAGAAGGACAUAACACAUCAACAAAUACACCUCAAAAACCCCUAAAAAUUCACCAGAUUGAGCCCCCAGAAUAAGCGUAAAAAGAGCAAUUGCCCCUCUCCUAGGGCAUCGUCGAUAGAAUUCGCCCACAAUUGCACCAAAAUGCCACCUUUAAUCCAAAAAAAAAAAGAAAAAACCUUUUUCCCUCGCAACCCAGUAAACCACCAACAAAACCCCAAAAAAAUCCCCCAAAAGACCAUCAAAUUAAAUCGGAAAAAAAAAGCGUAAGAGAGAGAGCAAUCGCCCCUCACCUAGGGCAUCGUCGAUAGAAUUCGUCAACAAUUACACCAAAAUGUCACCUUUAAUCCAAAAAAAAAACCUUUUUUCCCUCACAACCCAGUAACCCACCAACAAAAACCUAAAAAAAUCCCCAAAAACCAUCAAAUUAAAUCGGGGAAAAAAAAAAGCGUAAAAGAGAGAGCAAUUGCCCCUCACCUAGGGCAUCGUCGAUAGAAUUCGUCAACAAUUACACCAAAAUGUCACCUUUAAUCCAAAAAAAAAAACCUUUUUUCCCUCACAACCCAGUAACCCACCAACAAAAACCUAAAAAAAUCCCCAAAAACCAUCAAAUUAAAUCGAGAAAAAAAAAAGCACAAGAGACAGCAAUCGUUCCCUCACCUAGUGCAUCGUCGAGGAGGAGGUGAUGGGGGAGAGGGGAGCAGGUGGAGGUAGGAGUCGUCGACGACGACGAAGUCGUUGUUGCGUUCCCCCCUCCUCCCCCUAUUGUAUUAUAUUUCGCAGUAGCGUGAGAGAGAGAGAGAGAGAGAGAGAGAGAGAGAGACAGUGUGUGUGUGUGUGAGAGGGAGCGUUUGAAUGCGAAAGUGUCCCUCGCUUUCCUCCGACGCGGUUUUUAAGCGCGGAUGCGGUCCCAUCACCAUACCCGGUGAGGAUACCGCCCACUCAUGCUCUCCCGCACUACACGGCAUGUUUGUUUCCCCGAAGCUGAAAAUGAAGUUUAAAUUGAAUUAGAAUUUCGAGUGAAUUAAAUAUCAGAUGAAUGUUUUUUUAAAAAAAAUUAUCAAAUAAUAUAUUAUAGUAUUUUGGACAUAUUGAAAAUUUCGUAGUGAAUUAAAUUUCAGACCAAAUUUAAAUUUCAAAGUUAUAAAAUAACAAGUUUAAAAUUUAAAAACUAACAAUAUCAAAUUUAAAAUUUAAAAUUUUAAAAUAUCAAAUUUAAAAUUUAAACUUUAAUAAAAUUUAAAAUUUUAAUUUAUUAAUUAUAAUUAUAAAAUUAUAAAUUUUAAAAAUUUUAUAUUUAAAUUUAAACUAAAAUUCUCUCUCUCUCUCUCUCUCCACUCAAGUGGGUUGGAACAAGCUUGUUCCAACCCCGGGUGGGAACAAGUGUUCCCAUCAUAACGGGUUCCCACCAUGAAAAAAUUGUGUUUGGGUAUAAAGGGAGGAUAUCCCUUUAUCCCCCCUUUAUACCCGAGGCAAACGGGGUGUAAUAGAAUUUUUUUUCCAUCCGAGGUGAGACCAAGACUACUGAGACAUUACAAAUUCGUGGUAUAGUAUUUCGUAUUGUAUAGUACUUAAACCUCACGCUUUCGGCUGAUGUUCGUUUAUAGUACCAAUUGUAACGAUUUGGUCUCGACCCGUUAAUAAUAAUAACUCGUUGAGUCUAAAUCAUUAGCUUAAAAUUACACUCAGUUAUUAUUACUAAAUUAGAUGACUCUUGUAUUUAUAAUCAGAACCUAUUUUCCAUCUAAGGUGAAAUUAUUAUUAGGACAUUACAAAUAUAAUGAAUUUA
rnacentral:lncRNA from 1 species